UCGUUUUUGACUUUUCACACGUAUUAAGAAAUGUAAUAAUUAUGGUAUGAAAAAGAUAAAUUAUGAAUGAUUUUACAAAAUUAUCCUUUAUUAAUGGUAUUGGAAAGACAAAUUAACAUAAUUGAAAGGAGAGAUAAUAAUAAAUAUUUAAGGGUAUAAUAGGAAAAAUAACAUUAAUGAUUCAUUGGUAUUGUAAAACGACUUAUAUUGUGGUACAAAAUAUUUUUCCAAAGUGACAUAUAAUAAAAAACGGAGGUAGUA
rnacentral:lncRNA from 1 species